rnacentral:lncRNA from 1 species
AAAAUAAUUUGUUUCAACAUUCUACGUCUAUGUCAAUUAAAAUAAAUUUAAUGCAUUUCUCAAGCCCUCCACCUUCAUUUCUACUGGAAAAACCCAAAUGCAAAUGAGACGUCUGGUUCUAUGCACAGAUGGUCUGUGCAUUAUUUGUGUCUGUCAAAUCAAGCUAAUGUGAAACCUCAUGUCAUAGAGUCUGCGUGUCCUUUGUUUCUUUGCUAGGGAUUAUAUAUGAUGAAAAGAAAUGACCAGGAUAUGAAGAAAAUAUUUUCUGAAGUCACACUGAUUUGUGUUUUGCUGCAGACAGUGCAAGCUGCUGGUGGAUCUACCAUUCUGGGAUCUGGAGGAUGAUGGCCAUCUUCACAUAGCUCCACUAGGGUUUAUUCUUCAAAGACAAGGCUUCUGGGAAUGUCACCCUACCCCUGUGUGACUCCUCCCCAUUGUUUCCUGGGCCAGAUGGUCAGAGCUGACUUUACUACAGUGUGUGAAAAUAUCAGGCUAUAACUCUAUCCUGGUGAGUAAUGAUGCGCCUGCACUCAUGACUCAGCUUGGCACCAGUUGUUGCAGGGAUGGUUUCACCAUCCUCUGCAUUUCAACUUCCUAUUUCAUGCUAUCUACCACCCCCUCCAUUAACCUUUUCUGCCUCUUAAGCUAGAAAUCUCUCUCAUGCUCUCCCUUCACACGCAGCUAUCAAAGACAAACAAGAGUCUCUCUAGAUGAAUCUCAACUUCAUAGGCUGUGUCUGUGCAAGACAGGUCUCCCAAAAAUAAAAUAAUUUUUGACUUGGAAGUUUCUCUGUAUUAUACCCCUCAAAUUUCCAGACCUAGAGUUUUCCUUUCAUGGCAUAGAGUCCAAG